rnacentral:rRNA from 1 species
AGAGGCUACUGCCAUCAGAGUUCGAUUUAGCCAUGUUAGUCGAGGGUGCUUCUUCUUCGGAAGAAGUAACCCGGCGGACGGCUCAGUAACACGUGGAUAACUUGCCCUUGGGUCUGGGAUAACCCCUGAGAAAUUGGGGACAAUACCAGAUAGGGCAUCGAUAGCUGGAAUGCGCGAUGUCCAAAAGCUGAGGCGCCCAAGGAUAGGUCUGCGGCCGAUUAGGUUGUUGUUGAUGUAAUGGAUCAACAAGCCUGCGAUCGGUACGGGUUGUGAGAGCAAGAGCCCGGAGAUGGGUUCUGAGAAAAGAACCCAGGUCCUACGGGACGCAUCAGGCGCGAAAACUUUACAAUGUGCGAAAGCACGAUAAGGGAACUCUGAGUGCCUCCUAUGGAGGCUGUUCAGGUGUCUAAAAAGCACUUGAAGUAAGGGCUGGGUAAGACCGGUGCCAGCCGCCGCGGUAACACCGGCAGCCCAAGUGGUAGCCACGAUUAUUGGGUCUAAAGCGUCCGUAGCCGGCCAGGUAAGUUCUUUGGGAAAUUUAGCCGCUCAACGGUUAAGCUUUCAGGGAAUACUGCUUGGCUUGGGACCGGGAGAGGUCAGAGGUACUUCAAGGGUAGGGGUGAAAUCCGUUAAUCCUUGAGGGACCACCAGUA